CAUAUCUAGGUCCACCACUUCCAAAUAGGGGUCAUAUUGAGGAUUAAAAAUAUUACAUGAACAACAUAGGUUUAUAAAUUGUUAUAACCUGACGAUUAUCUAUGUGGGCCGAUCUUGGAAUUUGAUGUAUUUAUGUAAACUGAAAGAUGCUUGUUGGCUUUAUAUGAUAAAAAUGGUAGGCAAUAACCCCGCUUAAACCUGUGCUUUGGUGAAUUUAUUUUUUGGGGCAAAUGUGGUAAAGAUAGACUAACAAAUCAUUUGUAUGACAGAAAUAAUUUGGCACUCUUGUACAGGGAGGCCACGGGAUGAAGUAUCAUUGACUUUGAAGAAUGUAUCAAUGUUAUCAACGAGACUAAAAGAAUUGCGAUGGUAGGAAUAAAUUGUGCAUCACCACACUAUGUCGUGACAGACAAGAUGAUAGUAGUUUAUCCCAACAGUGGUGAGAUAUGGGAUGGCAAAGCAAAGAGAUGGCUGCUACCUGGAUGUGUACAUGCAACCCUUAAUUGAGGAAUUGAAGCAAUGAUGGGAUGUUGGAGCAACGACUUGAUUUCCCGACACCGGGAUCUAUUUUAUUACUUUUUAGAUUUGUCGAUAUAUAUUUUUGUAGAACUCGACUUCAAUUUUAUUCCUCGAUAUUGGGAUGUAUUUUGUGUAUAUAAAUCUAAUUUAUUUCAUGUUUAAAUUGAAUAUUUUUUUAGUUUAAAA